AGGGAAUCUUCCGCAAUGGACGAAAGUCUGACGGAGCAACGCCGCGUGAGCGAAGAAGGUCUUCGGAUCGUAAAGCUCUGUUGUCAGGGAAGAACAAGUGCCGUUCGAACAGGGCGGUACCUUGACGGUACCUGACGAGGAAGCCACGGCUAACUACGUGCCAGCAGCCGCGGUAAUACGUAGGUAGCAAGCGUUGUCCGGAAUUAUUGGGCGUAAAGCGCGCGCAGGCGGUUCCUUAAGUCUGAUGUGAAAUCUCGCGGCUCAACCGCGAGCGGCCAUUGGAAACUGGGGAACUUGAGUGCAGGAGAGGGGAGCGGAAUUCCACGUGUAGCGGUGAAAUGCGUAGAGAUGUGGAGGAACACCAGUGGCGAAGGCGGCUCUCUGGCCUGUAACUGACGCUGAGGCGCGAAAGCGUGGGGAGCGAAC
rnacentral:rRNA from 1 species